rnacentral:rRNA from 1 species
GUCUAGAGGCUUCGACAAUGCCCGAAAGGGUGAUCGAGCGAUGCCGCGUGCGGGAAGAAGGCCUUCGGGUUGUAAACUGCUUUUGUACGGAACGAAACGGUCCGGGUUAAUACCCUGGGCUAAUGACGGUACCGUAAGAAUAAGCACCGGCUAACUACGUGCCAGCAGCCGCGGUAAUACGUAGGGUGCAAGCGUUAAUCGGAAUUACUGGGCGUAAAGCGUGCGCAGGCGGUUUUGUAAGACAGGCGUGAAAUCCCCGGGCUCAACCUGGGAAUUGCGCUUGUGACUGCAAGGCUGGAGUGCGGCAGAGGGGGAUGGAAUUCCGCGUGUAGCAGUGAAAUGCGUAGAUAUGCGGAGGAACACCGAUGGCGAAGGCAAUCCCCUGGGCCUGCACUGACGCUCAUGCACGAAAGCGUGGGGAGCAAACAGGAUUAGAUACCCGAGUAGUCC